CGGGAAACCGUGAUAAGGGAACCCCGAGUGCCCGUAAAUUCGGGCUGUCCAUCAGCGUAAAUAACUGGUGAAGAAAGGGCCGGGCAAGACCGGUGCCAGCCGCCGCGGUAAUACCGGCGGCUCGAGUGGUGGCCACUAUUAUUGGGCUUAAAGCGUCCGUAGCUUGGUUGUUAAGUCUCUUGGGAAAUCUACCGGCUCAACCGGUAGGCGUUCAGGAGAUACUGGCAAUCUAGGGACCGGGAGAGGUGAGAGGUACUCCAGGGGUAGGAGUGAAAUCCUGUAAUCCUUGGGGGACCACCUGUGGCGAAGGCGUCUCACUAGAACGGCUCCGACAGUGAGGGACGAAAGCUGGGGGAGCAAACCGGAUUAGAUACCCGGGUAGUCCCAGCUGUAAACGAUGCGCGUUAGGUGUAUCGGUGACCACGAGUCACCGAGGUGCCGAAGGGAAACCGUGAAACGUGCCGCCUGGGAAGUACGGUCGCAAGGCUGAAACUUAAAGGAAUUGGCGGGGGAGCACCACAACAGGUGGAGCCUGCGGUUUAAUCGGACUCAACGCCGGAAAGCUCACCGGAUAAGACAGCGGAAUGAUAGCCGGGCUGAAGACUCUGCUUGACUAGCUGAGAGGAGGUGCAUGGCC
rnacentral:rRNA from 1 species